UACAGAGGGUGCGAGCGUUGUCCGGAAUCACUGGGCGUAAAGCGCACGUAGGCGGAUCGUUAAGUCGAGGGUGAAAUCCUGGAGCUCAACUCCAGAACUGCCUUCGAUACUGGCGAUCUCGAGUCCGGAAGAGGUGAGUGGAACUCCUAGUGUAGAGGUGGAAUUCGUAGAUAUUAGGAAGAACACCAGUGGCGAAGGCGGCUCACUGGUCCGGUACUGACGCUGAGGUGCGAAAGCGUGGGGAGCAAACAGG
rnacentral:rRNA from 1 species